rnacentral:lncRNA from 1 species
AAGGAAGGGAAAGAGGGAGGGAGAGAGGAAGGAAGGAAGGGAAGAAGGGAAGGAAGGAAGGAAGGAAGAGGGGAAGGAGGGGGGAGGAGGAAGGAAUGAAGAGAGAAAGGAAGGCAGGGAAGGAGGGGAGAGAGGGAGGAAGGGGGAAAGGAAAGAAGGAAGGAAGAAGGAAAGAAGAAAGGAAGGAAAAAAGGAAGGGAAAGAGGAAGGGAAAGAGGAAGGAAGGAAGGAAGGAAGGGCAAUUGGUACUAAAUUCUUGUAGUGCCCAGGCACUCUUCCCCUAGUGGGCAGGGCAGAGAGACUGUGAAAGGUGGAGAUGAAGGAGAGCCAUCAUUUCACUCUUGAGAAAGGACGGAGCAGGCUGUGUGGAAGAGAUGAGAUCUGGGAUAAAUUGGAAAAGGUAUCAAAAAAUUAGGAGGGAAGAAAUAUUUUCAGCAAGUCUGCUACCACACUCCUCAAAUUCAACUAAGAGUGGUGAUUUAAUGUCAGAAAAGCUCCGCAUCCAGCCCUAUUAGCAGGGGCAGAAACAGACGCCAGGAGACACUGCCCACCUCCUGGGAAUCGGAAUCAGCCUUCACAGCACCAGGAGCCUGGGGUGGGCUGCUGUUUCUGUAAGGUUUUAAAAAGUCAGAGAGCACAGAGUUCUUCCGGAGCCUAUUCUGACUCCUCCUGAGUUUUGUUCACGUGAGAUAAUAUCCUCCUGGGAAAAAAUCUUGAUGGAAAGCCAAGGCCCCCCUGCUGGCUGCAAGAAACCGGAAUUCGGCCUUUUCGGCGCGCACCCGGACACGGCGCUGGGAUGAAGGCGCCCAGUUCAUGCCCAGCCAGGGCCUGCAGGGACAACGGGAUGGUCACAGGACGGCUGCCUCAGCUCCAAACAGCAACAUCUGAAGGAGAAAGCUGCAGGCCCGGACUGGAUGGCUUUGGCUAAGGAACCAACGCAGGUGGAGAAGGAGGCUGACGAUGGAGCCCAGGCACUCCAGCCUUGAAGGAGGAGAACCUGACCCUGAGCCUGCAUGGCAGCCGUGCGGGGGGACUUCGGGGGGUUUCCCCUUUGCUUCCAUCCAAAGAAAGUGCCCCACGUUUGAAAGCCUCUGUGCUGAAUGCUCCCAAUGCCCUCCGAUUCCAUCUAGGUCGUCCCUACCACCAAGGCAGGUGUGUGAAUUCACCCGCACAGCUCACCGUCCUGGGAGGGUGACGCUGGAGGAGGGACGUCCCUACCAUCAAGGCAGGUGUGUGAAUUCACCCGCACAGUUCACCGUCCUGGGAGGGUGACGCUGGAGGAGGGACGUCCCUACCAUCAAGGCAGGUGUGUGAAUUCACCCGCACAGUUCACCGUCCUGGGAGGGUGACGCUGGAGGAGGGACAUCCCUACCAUCAAGGCAGGUGUGUGAAUUCACUCGCACAGUUCACCGUCCUGGGAGGGUGACGCUGGAGUAGGGAUGUCCCUC